AGGUUGCUUAUUUAAAACUGAUAAAAACACAAUUGCAUUUCAUCAAAACUGUAGAAAUUGCUUCUUCUUUCUAUCUGCAGACAGGCCUGUUGGUUCUCCUGGUCUUUGGGAAGCGGGGGCAGUUCAACCAGUGGUGAGAAGGAGAACGCACCAAUUCCUUAUUGUCUCAAACGAAAUCUUACAUUCACACCCUUUCUCAGGAGCUCAACACCUGGAGGUCUCUAGGUUAGCUACUAAGGGCUCGCCACAUUUAUGUCACCUGACUUUAAUAUUAAAUACUGCAGCAACGGCAGAUUGGAAGUGUGAAUGGCUACGCUGAUCAGAGCUGACCUUCUGCUGAACUAGUCUGACUGGUUCACAAAGGAAGAGUGUGUGAAAAUAAUGUAUGUAUUCCUUUGAGAAAUGUGUGGCAAUGAAGUUGAAGGUCUGAACAUCAAGUAUGUCUUUUCCUGGACUGGAUAAACUACACAGAAAUACAAGGCAGGAUCCAGCCAAAUGAAACCAUUCUAAGUAUCAAGGAAAAUUGAUUUCUUUUACUCUAUGAUGUUAUUGUAGUUUUUGUUUCUGGUCUAUUUGAUUUAUUGUGCUGUUAAAAGCCCAGAACAGUGCUUUGCACUAAUGGGGCAGUAUAAAAAUUGAAUAAAUCAAUAAAUAAUUUUGUUUGAUUCCA
rnacentral:lncRNA from 1 species